AGUGCGACCCAGUGCAGCUCUGUGCCUGAGCCAAGAUUUGGAAAAAGGAUUGGAAAUGAUUUUGCAGUUGGCUCAGUGGUUCUAUUUGAAUGCAAUCCAGGAUAUACACUAAACGGAUCUACUGCAAUUAGAUGUGAUACCGUUCCCAAUGCUCUGGCUCAGUGGAAUGACUCGCUGCCUACUUGUGAUGUGCCCUGUGGUGGAAUUUUAACUAAGCGCAGAGGAACCAUUCUAUCACCGGGUUACCCUGAGCCAUAUGACAACAAUUUGAAUUGUAUAUGGAAGAUCACAGUGCCAGAGGGAGCUGGCAUUCAAAUUCAAAUUAUAAGUUUUGCUACAGAGCAUAAUUGGGAUUCAUUAGAUUUCUAUGAUGGAGCAGAUAACAAUGCUCCAAGGCUUGGCAGCUAUUCAGGCACAACAAUACCGCAACUUCUGAACAGCACAUCGAAUAACCUGUAUCUGAACUUUCAGUCGGAUAUUAGUGUGUCGGCUGCUGGAUUCCAUCUUGAAUACACAGCGAUAGGUUUAGACUCCUGCCCAGAGCCACAGACACCAAACAGCGCAAUAAAAGUCGAUGAUAGAUAUAUGGUUGGAGACGUGGUGACUUUUCAGUGUGAUC